rnacentral:rRNA from 1 species
GAUGAACGCUAGCGGCAGGCUUAACACAUGCAAGUCGAGGGGUAGAGGAAGCUUGCUUCCUUGAGACCGGCGCACGGGUGCGUAACGCGUAUGCAAUCUACCUUAUACAGGGGAUAGCCCAGAGAAAUUUGGAUUAAUACCCCAUAGUAUAAUUGAAUGGCAUCAUUUAAUAUUAAAAGUUCCAACGGUAUAAGAUGAGCAAUGCGUCCCAUUAGCUAGUUGGUGUGGUAACGGCACACCAAGGCGACGAUGGGUAGGGGUCCUGAGAGGGAGAUCCCCCACACUGGUACUGAGACACGGACCGGACUCCUACGGGAGGCAGCAGUGAGGAAUAUUGGUCAAUGGGCGCAAGCCUGAACCAGCCAUGCCGCGUGCAGGAUGACGGUCCUAUGGAUUG